rnacentral:rRNA from 1 species
UGGGGAAUUUUGGACAAUGGGGGAAACCCUGAUCCAGCCAUCCCGCGUGUGCGAUGAAGGCCUUCGGGUUGUAAAGCACUUUUGGCAGGAAAGAAACGUCGCGGGUUAAUACCCCGCGAAACUGACGGUACCUGCAGAAUAAGCACCGGCUAACUACGUGCCAGCAGCCGCGGUAAUACGUAGGGUGCAAGCGUUAAUCGGAAUUACUGGGCGUAAAGCGUGCGCAGGCGGUUCGGAAAGAAAGAUGUGAAAUCCCAGAGCUUAACUUUGGAACUGCAUUUUUAACUACCGGGCUAGAGUGUGUCAGAGGGAGGUGGAAUUCCGCGUGUAGCAGUGAAAUGCGUAGAUAUGCGGAGGAACACCGAUGGCGAAGGCAGCCUCCUGGGAUAACACUGACGCUCAUGCACGAAAGCGUGGGGAGCAAACAGGAUUAGAUACCCUGGUAGUCCACGCCCUAAACGAUGUCAACUAGCUGUUGGGGGCCUUCGGGCCUUGGUAGCGCAGCUAACGCGUGAAGUUGACCGCCUGGGGAGUACGGUCGCAAGAUUAAAACUCAAAUGAAUUGACGGGGUCAUAGCUGUUUUCCU